rnacentral:rRNA from 1 species
AUUGAACGCUGGCGGCAGGCCUAACACAUGCAAGUCGAACGGUAACAGGAAGAAGCUUGCUUCUUUGCUGACGAGUGGCGGACGGGUGAGUAAUGUCUGGGAAACUGCCUGAUGGAGGGGGAUAACUACUGGAAACGGUAGUUAAUACCGCAUAACGUCGCAAGACCAAAGAGGGGGACCUUCGGGCCUCUUGCCAUCGGAUGUGCCCAGAUGGGAUUAGCUAGUAGGUGGGGUAACGGCUCACCUAGGCGACGAUCCCUAGCUGGUCUGAGAGGAUGACCAGCCACACUGGAACUGAGACACGGUCCAGACUCCUACGGGAGGCAGCAGUGGGGAAUAUUGCACAAUGGGCGCAAGCCUGAUGCAGCCAUGCCGCGUGUAUGAAGAAGGCCUUCGGGUUGUAAAGUACUUUCAGCGGGGAGGAAGGGAGUAAAGUUAAUACCUUUGCUAAUUGACGUUACCCGCAGAAGAAGCACCGGCUAACUCCGUG